AAUAAUCCACUUUCUGAAAUUGAUGUACUACUGAUGUCAAUGCUACUCAGCAGGCUGGGCAGAUUAUAGAGAGGUGUAAAAAAGAGAGAGAGAGAGAGAGAGAGAAGAGAGAAGAGAGAAGAGAGACAGAGAGAGAUUCCUCUGAGUACAAAACAACAUUGUAGGCCUAGUUGAUGAGAAAGGAAGGACAAAAAUUUCAACUUCAUUGUCAGAGAACAAAAUGCAAUCUGAUAUGUGAUAUAUGCACUAUCAAGUAAAACAUUUCCAAAUUAGUCAAAGUCAAGAAAGAAGAAACAGAUCUAAAGAAAAACCAAGAAAAAGAAUAAA